GUCCGCUCGUAGCUUCAGCAUGCUCGUCGAGCGGUCUAGAUAAUCCAGCUUCCUCUCAUCGCUGCGCACGGGCGAAUAAUGCCCCCAGCUUUCCCAGUCUACCUUUUCCUGCGUUAGCCUACGUUUCCACUUACCCUAUUACUCCAAACGACCUACGCAGGGGAGCUUCGGACCUUGCGGCCUUUCACGAGCCUAUGACCCAUUAUCUAAUUGGCGAGGUGGCGGGUCACCAUGGCACCGAUCCGACGCUCGUUUGCUAGGCUGAUCAGUCAUAAUGAAAUAGAGACACGGUCCAGACUCCUACGGGAGGCAGCAGUGGGGAAUAUUGGACAAUGGGCGAAAGCCUGAUCCAGCCAUGCCGCGUGUGUGAAGAAGGUCUUCGGAUUGUAAAGCACUUUAAGUUGGGAGGAAGGGUUGUAGAUUAAUACUCUGCAAUUUUGACGUUACCGACAGAAUAAGCACCGGCUAACUCUGUGCCAGCAGCCGCGGUAAUACAGAGGGUGCAAGCGUUAAUCGGAAUUACUGAGCGUAAAGCGCGCGUAGGUGGUUUGUUAAGUUGGAUGUGAAAUCCCCGGGCUCAACCUGGGAACUGCAUUCAAAACUGACUGACUAGAGUAUGGUAGAGGGUGAUGGAAUUUCCUGUGUAGCGGUGAAAUGCGUAGAUAUAGGAAGGAACACCAGUGGCGAAGCGACCACCUGGACUAAUACUGACACUGAGGUGCGAAGGCGUGGGGAGCAAACAGAAUAGAUACUCUGGUAGUCCACGCCGUCAACGAAUGUCAACUAGCGUUGGAAGGCUUGAGCUUUUAGUGGACGCAGCUAACGAAUUAAGUUGAUCGGCUGGGGGAGUACGGGCGCAAGUUAAAACUAAAAUGAAUUGACGGGGCCCGCCAACGGUGGAGCAUGUGGAUUAAUUCGAAGCACCGGAAAACCUAACCAGCUUUGACGUCUAUGACUUCAAGAAUAGAAUGGGUGCCUCGGGAACUGAAACAGGACGCAUGCUCUCAGCUGGUCGGAAGUUGGAUAAGUCAACACAGGCCACUUUGCUAUCCAUCUAAUUGGGGGGAUUCUGAUGAACCUCG
rnacentral:rRNA from 1 species